UCCUUCCCAACAUUCCCUCUUUGUCUUUAUUACCCCGAUUGAUCUCGAUCGGGGCUCGCUCCAGUUGUACAGGCACUCUGUCUUUCUGUCUCCUCAUCCUCCAUUUCUCUUUCUCUGCUCCUCCUCCACCUUCCCUCUGACCCCUUCUUCUCCGAGAUCGGCCAAUCACGUGGCUCCGCCGGAGGGGAUCGGAUGUGAAAAGUCUGCCAAACGUGGAGGCUAAGCCGAGAAUUUGGAAUUUUUUCUAAACAUUUUUAAACAUUUUUUUUUUUCCUAAGGAGGUGUGGCUACCCUGAGAUGCCCCUCCCCCCAACAUCCCUACUGUGUUUAUGUUCUAGUAAACAUACCUGUGGAAGCCAACGUAAACAAGCAAAAAUUAAAAAAAAAAAAAAUGGAGAAAAAAACCCGACGGAAAGAAGAAGAAGAAACCUCUUUGAUCUGGAAUUUUUUCCUUCUUUUUUUUGUUUUGUUUACCUUUGAAGAUGCGUUUACUCUGUGAUGUGUUUGAUGCAAAAAAAAAAAAAAAAAAACAUGAAAAGGAGAAAAAAAAACACACAAGAACAAAGAAACGAUACCUCUCAAGGAAUCACUGGAAAUGUUUUACAUUUUAAUAGUUGCACUAAAGUGAAGAUGUAAAAGAUGCUUUUGUUUGUUGCCAGCUGCAUCGCAAAGGACAACGUUUUUCUUAUUCCCUCCCCAGGAAAAAACGACAACAAAAAAACAAAACAAAACAAAACAAUGAAUGCUUUAAUUUGCAACAGACUACACAAUCGCUUGUAAGUAGAGCAAAAAACUUGACUGUUGGGAUACAUCAUCACAAGAGGAUAUAAUGGUUUUAAUGGAUUUGGGUUUUGCUGACUGUGCAGGAGGUGUUCAGAUUUUCCCCAUGCAGGCUGGAUGGAUGAGGAGAGGAGAGGUGAGGGAUGCUGGAUUCUACCCCCACCCCCUCUGUCUUCCUCUGCAGGACCCUUUUCUCCAAGGCUCCAUCCCUUCUUUAUGCUGUAAAGGUCCUUUUGAAGCUUCACAGCUUAGAGGAAACACGCAUGAAGUCACUCGUCUACAGAUGCACUUCCUCCAUUCACCA
rnacentral:lncRNA from 1 species